rnacentral:rRNA from 1 species
GACGAACGCUGGCGGCGUGCUUAACACAUGCAAGUCGAACGGAAAGGCCCCUUUGGGGGUACUCGAGUGGCGAACGGGUGAGUAACACGUGAGUAACCUGCCCUUGACUUCGGGAUAACUUCAGGAAACUGAGGCUAAUACCGGAUAGGAAUCCUUGCUGCAUGGUGGGGGUUGGAAAGCUUCGGCGGUUUUGGAUGGACUCGCGGCUUAUCAGCUUGUUGGUGGGGUAGUGGCUUACCAAGGCUUUGACGGGUAGCCGGCCUGAGAGGGCGACCGGCCACAUUGGGACUGAGAUACGGCCCAGACUCCUACGGGAGGCAGCAGUGGGGAAUAUUGCACAAUGGGCGGAAGCCUGAUGCAGCAACGCCGCGUGCGGGAUGACGGCCUUCGGGUUGUAAACCGCUUUCAGCAGGGGCGAAGCUUGUGGUGACGUUACCUGCAGAAGAAGCACCGGCUAACUACGUG